UACAGAGGGUGCAAGCGUUAAUCGGAAUUACUGGGCGUAAAGCGUGCGUAGACGGUUACAUAAGUCGGGUGUGAAAGCCCCGGGCUUAACCUGGGAAUUGCAUUCGAAACUGCGUAGCUAGGGUGCGGAAGAGGGAAGCGGAAUUUCCGGUGUAGCGGUGAAAUGCGUAGAUAUCGGAAGGAACACCAGUGGCGAAAGCGGCUUCCUGGUCCGGUACUGACGCUGAGGUGCGAGAGCGUGGGGAGCAAACAGG
rnacentral:rRNA from 1 species